rnacentral:lncRNA from 1 species
GAGAGUUCUGGCGAGGGCUGCGGGAAGGAAAGGGGGCGGCGUCCUUCACAGGGAGGGUGCAGCUGACCUCCCUCCCCUUGUGCAGACUGGAAAAGAAUGGCCCAGAUCCUCUGGACUCCUCAGAUGAGCGGAUUCAGAGAGAAGCUUUUGAGAGCGUGCUGGCGGAGACAUUUUUCACAAAAGAGCCCUUGCGGUGCUGGUGUCCGUGGCGUGCCUGGGUGGAAAAUGAGCUUAUAUAUGAAGAAGUCAGCGAGUGGACAAAGCCAGGCGCAAUGGAUAGCAAAGAUGUGGAAGUCUCCUCGAUUCAAGUUACAAGAAAACCGCAGCAUGGAGUCUGCUCUCAGCUGUUGGGGAAUUACCGAUGCCUUUGACUAAGUCAAGACUGACUUUUCCAGAAUAUCACCCAAGAGAUAGAGCCGUCCCUGUCCAAGUUUGUGCGCUAGCCCUUCAUGGAGGUCAGAGAGGAAGAAACAAAGGCAGCUGUGGCCUCGGCGGUCACAGUGUCAGAACGCACAAGCCCCAUAAAGAGGUUUCACGCAGGCCACCCAUCCCUUUUCAUUCUCCAGCAGAACAGGACAGAGAGCGUUCUGUUCUGCGGAAGGUCUUCCACUCUACAAGGCAAUCCCUCCAGCUGCUUUGCUGUAUUGUGCUGUCUCCUGUCACACUAUGAAUGCAGUGACCUCAGCCAGCAACAGGGAGAACCCCCCUGCCUCCCGAACAAAGGACCUCACGUGAAAUCCUGAGCUCAGAGCUUACAGAUAUGUGUGCGCUUUCACUUUACAUCGGCCGUGACUUCCAAACAACUUCAGGAAACUUUAGGAUCUCUGAGGUAUACUGGAGAUGACAGCAGCGUAGAAUGUUCAUUUGGAUUUAGAACAGAAAUGCUUAUUUUAUAUUUGGCUGCUCCCAAACUGUCCCCAGACUUCCUCUCCAGUGGUUACCCUCCACUGCCCUGGAUGUCCCACGUUUACACUCCACACUCACACCUCCACCUUAACAAAGUCCUCCACUGGGUCAAACCAUACAUCGCUUCGUCUCUGUAGUGAUGACUUCCUGUCCUCUGCUCUGUGGAUAAAGACCCCAGAUAAAGAUGCCUGUGUUGCUCAACUCUUGUAAAUACUCUUGAGACAUUUUGAAAGCAGAAGGAAAGGAGACAGACGGGGAAAAUAAAAGGGAUGGUCUGCUUGUGCGGAAACGUUUUGAGAAUGCCCUUCCCUAAGAGAGAACAGUAAAAGUGAGCAAUACUUCCUGA